GAUUAAGAACGUAGCGAAAUGCGAUAAGUAAUGCGAAUUGCAGAAUUCCGUGAGUCAUCGAAUCUUUGAACGCACAUUGCGCCCUCUGGUAUUCCGGAGGGCAUGCCUGUCUGAGCGUCAUUGUCAACCCUCAAGCUCAGCUUGCUGUUGGGUCCCCGUCGUUGCUUUAACGGCGGACCCGAAAGGUAAUGGCAGAGUCCGUGAGACCCUAGACGCAGCGAGCUUCUAGCACGCGUCUGGACGUUUUUCGGGCUCGGUCUUAACUAGAUGAUAACUUCCGAUUGACCUCAGAUCAGGUAGGGAUACCCGCUGAACUUAAGCAUAUCAAUAAGCGGAGGA
rnacentral:misc_RNA from 1 species